UACGUAGGGUGCGAGCGUUGUCCGGAAUUAUUGGGCGUAAAGAGCUCGUAGGCGGUUUGUUGCGUCGACUGUGAAAACCUGGGGCUUAACUCUGGGCUUGCAGUCGAUACGGGCAGACUUGAGUUCGGUAGGGGAGACUGGAAUUCCUGGUGUAGCGGUGAAAUGCGCAGAUAUCGGGAGGAACACCAAUGGCGAAGGCAGCUCGCUGGGACGGUACUGACGCUGAGGCGCGAAAGCGUGGGGAGCAAACAGG
rnacentral:rRNA from 1 species